UUUCUAACUUCAAAAAGAGGAAUUAAAAAAAAAAUCUCUCAAAAAAAUUAUAAAGAAGGGAUAAAUCGAGAGAAUUUAUAUGAACGUUAUGAAUAGGACCACUCUUUUUGCUAUGUAAAUUUUUUCAAUAUUUUUUUAAGGGGUUAUUUGGUGAUUUUGGAAGAUGUUUGGGUUUGAUAUAUGAUGUUCAUGUGCAACUAUUUUUUUU
rnacentral:misc_RNA from 1 species